rnacentral:hammerhead_ribozyme from 1 species
AUCCAGUUGACGAGUCCCAAAUAGGACGAAACACGUGUGAAACUGGAU